GACGAACGCUGGCGGCGUGCCUAAUACAUGCAAGUCGAACGCAGUGGGGACUGGUGAGUAACACGUUGGUAACCUCCCAUCAGAGGGGAUAACACUUGGAAACAGGUGCUAAACCGAUACUGAUGGAUGGACCCGCGGUUCAUUAGCUAGUUGUGGAGGUAACGGAUCACCAAGGCCACGAUGCAUAGCCGAUCUGAGAGGGUGAUCGGCCACACUGGGACUGAGAAACGGCCCAGACUCCUACGGGAGGCAGCAGUAGGGAAUCUUCUGCAAUGGACGAAAGUCUGACCGAGCAACGCCGCGUGAGUGAAGAAGGUUUUCGGAUCGUAAAACUCUGUUGGUAGAGAAGCGGUAUCUAACCAGAAAGCCACGGCUAACUACGUGCCAGCAGCCGCGGUAAUAA
rnacentral:rRNA from 1 species